rnacentral:rRNA from 1 species
UACGGAGGAUGCAAGCGUUAUCCGGAAUGAUUGGGCGUAAAGCGUCCGCAGGUGGCUGUGUAAGUCUGCUGUUAAAGAGUCUAGCUCAACUAGAUACAAGCAGUGGAAACUACACGGCUAGAGUACGUUCGGGGCAGAGGGAAUUCCAGGUGUAGCGGUGAAAUGCGUAGAUAUCUGGAGGAACACCGGUGGCGAAGGCGGCAUCCUGGACCAACACUGACGCUGAGUGAGCGAAAGCCAGGGGAGCAAACGGG